AACUAACGCUGGCGGCGUGCCUAACACAUGCAAGUCGUACGAGAAAGUUGGCUUCGGCCGAUGAGUAAAGUGGCGCACGGGUGAGUAAUGCGUGGAUAAUCUGCCCUUUAGUUGGGAAUAACGUACCGAAAGGUGCGCUAAUACCUGAUAAUACUGCAUAACUACUGUUGUGUAGUCAAAGAAGGCCUCUGUUUACAAGCUUUUGCUGAAGGAUGAGUCCGCGUACCAUUAGCUGGUUGGUGGGGUAAUGGCCUACCAAGGCUACGAUGGUUAGCUGGUCUGAGAGGAUGAUCAGCCACACUGGGAUUGAGAUACGGCCCAGACUCCUACGGGAGGCAGCAGUCGAGAAUAGUCUACAAUGGUCGGAAGACUGAUAGUGCGACGCCGCGUGAACGAUGAAUCCCUUCGGGGUGUAAAGUUCUUUUAUAUGUGAGCAGUGCUUCUUAUAUUAACAGUAUGGGGAGAGAGAUAUUAGCAUA
rnacentral:rRNA from 1 species